rnacentral:rRNA from 1 species
CCCUUAGAUGUUCUGGGCCGCACACGCGCUACACUCAAGGAGGCAGCGUGUACUCCUGGAUCGAAAGAUUUGGGUAACCCGCGAAUCUCCUUCGUGCUAGGGAUUGAGGUUUGCAAUUAUCCUUCAUGAACGAGGAAUUCCCAGUAAGUGCAAGUCAUAAGCUUGCGCUGACUACGUCCCUGCCCUUUGUACACACCGCCCGUCGCUACUACCGAUUGAAUGAUUUAGUGAGGACUUCGGACUGGGACCGAUGCGGCUUUCGGGCUGCGUCGGUAUUCUGGAAAGAUGUCCAAACUGUAUCAUUUAGAGGAAGUAAAAGUCGUAACA